UAAUGAUUCUUACAUUUCAAAGAUGGUACUGU
rnacentral:piRNA from 1 species